GCCAGAAGAGAGAUCUGGAGCACCAUUGGAGGGGAUUGACAACUUGGACAGCCUCUACAUUACAUUAAAUAAAAAUAAAGAAAUAUAGUGUUGAUAUGGUUUGUGUAUCACAGUAAGUGCAAGAUUUAGAGACUACAAAAAGUGAUCUCCAAAACGGAAAACCAGGAAAGACAUUGACGUAUUUCCUUAUGUCUGAAUUCUUCUCAGUGCUUUUGAACAGUGCCAGAGCUUCUAAUGUACUUUAAAAGACCUUAAAAAUUCAGGGAAAUAUUCAGGUAUGUAUCUGCUCUAUGACUAGCCCAAGCUGAUCUUUAUAGCACAUCAGGAGUUACUUUAUGACAUUUUGCAUUAUGUCAUUCAAUACUCUAUGAUAAUUUUUUUAAAUUAAAAUAUUGCCUAAUUUCCAUUCUACGGGAAUCAUGGUUCCCAGAUUAUGGACUCAUUCUGUAAAUUAGCCCAUUUGAGGUAUUAAAGUUAAAAAUUACACACACAACAAUUUUAGUUAUAAACCAUUUUAAGUGUGCCAAUAUAAGCAACAGGAUUAUAAAUAAGCUAACAUAAAGAUAAGUUUGGUUAAAAUUAUUCUGUUUGUACCAUUACUGUUGUUAUUAGUAUAUACUAUUUCCCCCCCUCACUUUUCUUUUGUAAAUGAUAUGCCCUGACAAUGCACUGUAUUCAAAAUGCUUACAUAUGAAUUAAAAAAAGA
rnacentral:lncRNA from 1 species